rnacentral:lncRNA from 1 species
UGGGACAGGGGUGGGGCAGGCAGGGCUUACGUGCAGGGGGGCUCUGUGCCUGGCCCCUGCAGGUCGAGGGAGAGUCCCAGGCCUGACCCUGGCCCCAUCCUCCAGGUCCGGAGCGCCCUGCAGAGGAUGACUGAGAAGAAGGCAGCGGAGGCCUUCCCGGUGGGCAGGCGCGGGCGGAGGGGCGGGGGGCCCUCCCCAUAGCCGGGGUCCUGGCACUGAUUCUCUUUCCUUUCAGGCUUGCUCCAGUCCCGUGGGCCCAGGAUUCCACCCUGGGCCCUCAGGCCCCUGGGAGAUGGCCCGGGACAACCCUGUGGUCUUGGCUCCCCCCCGAAGACACCUGGCUCUUAGAGGAACUCACAGCCCCAGAAACCCCACAACCUUCUCCUCCAUUGCAGAACCCGAGAGACCGGCUGUGGAGCUGACAGCAUUCAAGCCUUCAGGUACAGCUCUCACCCCAGGGGCUCCCUCUUUUCCUCUUGGCGCCCGGAUACCCCCUCAGCCCCACUGUCCCAAAAUGGAAAUGAUUUGAGAAAAAAAACGCACCCAACCUGCCACAAUUUGAGGGGCUCUUCCUAUCACUCGGCUCCUUGUUGGUGCCUGAAAAUCCCCCAUCAGCACCCUGUGGGCGCCGACAGUGAAAAUGCAGGGAUCAGGGGGAGGGGCUUAGUGAGGGAGGAAGUCUGCGACCCCCCCCCAGGCCAGUGCUGCCAGAGAGGCAGCGAGCGAGG